GCCGCCGUAGCUCAGCGGUCAGAGCGCCCGGCUCAUAACCGGGAGGUCGCGGGUUCGAAUCCCGCCGGCGGCA
rnacentral:tRNA from 1 species